GGAUGGGCCCGCGGCGCAUUAGCUAGUUGGUGGGGUAAAGGCUUACCAAGGCAAUGAUGCGUAGCCGAACUGAGAGGUUGAUCGGCCACAUUGGGACUGAGACACGGCCCAAACUCCUACGGGAGGCAGCAGUAGGGAAUCUUCCACAAUGGGCGAAAGCCUGAUGGAGCAACGCCGCGUGGGUGAAGAAGGUCUUCGGAUCGUAAAACCCUGUUGUUAGAGAAGAAAGUGCGUGAGAGUAACUGUUCACGUUUCGACGGUAUCUAACCAGAAAGCCACGGCUAACUACGUGCCAGCAGCCGCGGUAAUACGUAGGUGGCAAGCGUUAUCCGGAUUUAUUGGGCGUAAAGGGAACGCAGGCGGUCUUUUAAGUCUGAUGUGAAAGCCUUCGGCUUAACCGGAGUAGUGCAUUGGAAACUGGGAGACUUGAGUGCAGAAGAGGAGAGUGGAACUCCAUGUGUAGCGGUGAAAUGCGUAGAUAUAUGGAAGAACACCAGUGGCGAAAGCGGCUCUCUGGUCUGUAACUGACGCUGAGGUUCGAAAGCGUGGGUAGCAAACAGGAUUAGAUACCCUGGUAGUCCACGCCGUAAACGAUGAAUGCUAAGUGUUGGAGGGUUUCCGCCCUUCA
rnacentral:rRNA from 1 species